rnacentral:rRNA from 1 species
UACGGAGGGGGCUAGCGUUGUUCGGAAUUACUGGGCGUAAAGCGCACGUAGGCGGCUUUGCAAGUCAGAGGUAAAAGCCCGGGGCUCAACCCCGGAAUUGCCUUUGAGACUGCAUCGCUAGAAUUGUGGAGAGGUAAGUGGAAUUCCGAGUGUAGAGGUGAAAUUCGUAGAUAUUCGGAAGAACACCAGUGGCGAAGGCGACUUACUGGACACAUAUUGACGCUGAGGUGCGAAAGCGUGGGGAGCAAACAGG